rnacentral:RNase_P_RNA from 1 species
CGUGAAACGCGGUAACCUCCAUCUGCAGCAAGACCAAAUAGGCCAGUAAGCUAUGAAAGUAGCAAGGCGUGGCUCGCGUCACUGGCGGGUAGGUUGCUUGAGCGCAUAAGUAAUUGUGCGCCUAGAUGAAUGACUGUUACGUGUAGUAGUGCACGACAGAACCCGGCUUAUCGG